AGGCGCCACCGACCGUGUGGCGGUUUCUCGGCGCUCAUAAAGGCCUCCCAGCCAGCACCCUUCUAUACAAAGCAAGCAGGAGGCUCCUGAGCCAUCUCAGUGAUGUUGAGGAUGCUGAGGAAGAGUAGUCCCAAAUCAGCAGGGUGACGCCGGUGAGAAGUCACACCAUCGAACUCCCUGACGCAGAGCUGUGCUUUACCAGACCAGGCAACUAGG